UACGUAGGGUGCGAGCGUUAAUCGGAAUUACUGGGCGUAAAGCGUGCGCAGGCGGUGAUGUAAGACAGUUGUGAAAUCCCCGGGCUCAACCUGGGAACUGCAUCUGUGACUGCAUCGCUGGAGUGCGGCAGAGGGGGAUGGAAUUCCGCGUGUAGCAGUGAAAUGCGUAGAUAUGCGGAGGAACACCGAUGGCGAAGGCAAUCCCCUGGGCCUGCACUGACGCUCAUGCACGAAAGCGUGGGGAGC
rnacentral:rRNA from 1 species